AUUAACCACUCUGGAGAGCGUGCUUGCACCACCGAAGGGAAGAAGCAGGUGAUUUGGUUUUUGGGUUUGGCGACUUACAAAUCACUUAGCGAAAAUCUCAGGUAACAGGACAGAUGGGGUGUU
rnacentral:ncRNA from 1 species